CUAACGUGUUCGGAACAUAUUCUUUAUCGGUGUUAAGUAGAGCGUAAAAUCAAAGACUAUCGAAUGAAAUAUAAUCUCGCUGCUCCGAGACUCCAACGCGAGCUACCUGAGACCCGGUGAAUUUUCUACCGGAUAUGGAUGUGCUUUAAGGAAGUCCAGUGUUAAUUGUACUUUUUGGGGACUUUGAGAGAUUCACCACCCUUUGAACAAAUGUAUUUUGAGAUCCUCAAAGGAAUCCUAGAUUUGUCAAGAAGCCAUGUUUUAAUUGCUGCCCAUCAAAUAGUACAGUGUCUUGCAUGUGUAAAUUGUAAGUAUUCAGUGUCUU